AUAUAAUACAUCUUUAGAGAUAAAAUCUAAUCCAUUGAGAAUGAUGUGAUUAUAUUUACUAACCGUGUCUGUUCUGUCGCAUUUGUUCACCCGAAUCAUUAUAACUAAUUUCUCUCCUUGUGAUUUUCAAAUUCCUUAAGCGAUGGGUAACUACUUUUAACACCAUGCAGCUGCUGGUCAUCUUUAAUGUAAAGAAAGGCUACUAUGUAUUCACGAAGAAAGACUUCUGAAGGCAAAGAGGAGAGGAAAGAAGGAUGCGCGCUGGUUUAUCCUAUCUGUCUUACUGUACACUACUACGACUAACACUGAACAUGCGCAGACACCUUUUCUCCUUAUAUGUACAUCUCGGCUUUGGGUUGUUUUUUUUCUUAACUCUCCAAAAGAAAAUCAGGAAGGCUCAUAGUCAAUUUGUGGACCAAACCCAGUCGCACAAUACCCAGCCUACAACCAGUCUGUCUGAUGGUUUGGGGGAAGAGGAACAGAGAGGUGCAGCAACGAGAGAGCUUUGUCACAAGGGCAGCGUGUGAUGAGGAAUUGUAAUGAAUGAAGAGC